rnacentral:rRNA from 1 species
AGCAGUCGCCGCGGUAAUACGGAGGGUGCAAGCGUUAUCCGGAUUUAUUGGGUUUAAAGGGUCCGUAGGCGGACUUAUAAGUCAGUGGUGAAAGCCUGUCGCUUAACGAUAGAACUGCCAUUGAUACUGUGAGUCUUGAGUAUAUUUGAGGUAGCUGGAAUAAGUAGUGUAGCGGUGAAAUGCAUAGAUAUUACUUAGAACACCAAUUGCGAAGGCAGGUUACCAAGAUAUAACUGACGCUGAGGGACGAAAGCGUGGGUAGCGAACAGGAUUAGAUACCCGGGUAGUCCCUGUCUCUUAUAC